GCUUCAGGCUGGUGUAGUGGCAGCAUACUGGGGUAUAGGCCCCGGAGGCUCGGGUUCGAUUCCCGGCCCUGAAGCA
rnacentral:tRNA from 1 species